GACGAACGCUGGCGGCGUGCUUAACACAUGCAAGUCGAACGGAAAGGCCCUGCUUUUGUGGGGUGCUCGAGUGGCGAACGGGUGAGUAACACGUGAGUAACCUGCCCUUGACUUUGGGAUAACUUCAGGAAACUGGGGCUAAUACCGGAUAGGAGCUCCUGCUGCAUGGUGGGGGUUGGAAAGUUUCGGCGGUUGGGGAUGGACUCGCGGCUUAUCAGCUUGUUGGUGGGGUAGUGGCUUACCAAGGCCUUGACGGGUAGCCGGCCUGAGAGGGUGACCGGCCAAAUUGGGACUGAGAUACGGCCCAGACUCCUACGGGAGGCAGCAGUGGGGAAUAUUGCACAAUGGGCGGAAGCCUGAUGCAGCAACGCCGCGUGCGGGAUGACGGCCUUCGGGUUGUAAACCGCUUUCGCCUGUGACGAAGCGUGAGUGACGGUAAUGGGUAAAGAAGCACCGGCUAACUACGUG
rnacentral:rRNA from 1 species